UCCUCAUAGAUUCCAUGAUAAGAUAAGACUACAUGAAGCCGAUAAUCAUACGAACUUAACUCCCGAAGUGAAAGCGUUCUCUAUCGUUUGUUUCUUGUGAUUUCCCUCAAAUGGACGUUGAUAUUGGUGUAGAUCUAGCCCUAGGAUUGCUAUCUAUGGACAACAGGGUUGUUUGUCUGGAGGGCAGGGUGGCCCGAAAAAUUGUGUAGCCACAAAAGAAGCGGUGACCACCCAUGAGUGACUUCAGAUGUGUUCUCAAACAUGCUAAAACGUUGAACACAAAGUCGAGAUUUCGUAAAACCUUGGAAACAUUGAGGUGGAAUUGAUUUUCAUGGACUUUACCAUCGCAUGAGAACUUGACACACGGAAAGCGCCAAGAUUCACAUCUCUUUUACAUAAAGUGAAGAUUUUAAAGUGUUCUGGCUUGAGGUGCCUUUUUCAAUCCUUUUGGAGAAAAUAAACUGGAACAAUAAAAUCCAGAAUGGUUCCCAAUCCACCCUCGAAAGGUGCAAAUCAAGGGAUCCCCUCAGGCAUUUUCGAAUGAUCCACAAAUCUUUUGAAGAGAUUCGUCGUGUCUCUGGUUUUAUAUUCACGGCAAUGAUUCUCUGACGGGUCUAUAGAAAUCAUGGACGUUGGGCCAGCAAGUGGGUACGAGUGAGAAUUUAGUUAUGGAAAUGAGCCAUUAUCUUUUUCGCUUUGCAUGCGAAUGAUCAUUCAUUAUGCGUCAACAACCAUAAUCAAUGUUCUCAUACCUUCCUUCCACUACACCACACUACAUACAGAGACGAUAACAUGGCAAUAAAUUCCCAUGGAAAUUGAUGCCCUUCAAAGCAUGCUCACAUCCAUCCAUGCUUUCAUUGGGCAAACGCAAGAAAAUGCGUCAAUGGGAAAGAGGUGAAAGUUGGCAAAAAAGCAUCAUUUUGAGGAGGACAAAAAAAGAAUCGACAUGAAGCUUUUACGAGGGACUGACUCUGCAACGAGUUGCAUCAACCAAAGGGGGCAUGUCAUAAAAGUCAAGAAGGCGGGCUAAGGAUUGAUUUUUGUUCCUCUGACGAUGUAAUGGAGGGAAAAUGCAAAUCUUCAAGCAAACUGCUGAGAAAAUCGCCACGAUUUUGCGUCGGCAGAGGGAAACAACAAUCGAUCGAGUUGAAACAAACUCCUCCGAAAAUGCCAAGGUGAGCUCCCCAAAUUACCUGGACAUCAGUCGUGCACGACUAACCAACCAACUAAAGACGAGAACGAGUGAAGUGGGAGAAGAUGUCCUGCUGGGUGUUUGCUUCUAUCCAUAGAAAGACAGAUUCGUGCAUACUACAGAGUGGUAGUGGUAGAACUAUCAGAUGGUUUCAACGAAGAUGAUAGCCAUCGCAGAUCGCAACCAUCCAUCCAAGUUGAAACCUGAAGCUGCCAAAGAAUCUGUCCUUUCACCAAAUAAAUAACACGUUCUCCUUCCUCACA